UUCUCUCUCUCUAUCUCUCUCUCACUGAUCCAUCAUGGCUUUGGGAAUUUCGAUCUUUGUGAUGGGUUUCUCCUUCUCCGAUGUCGUUCUUGACCACCACUCUCCCGCCGACGAAGCGCUUAGGGCACAGCAGCCGUGGAGGAAGUUCAGGUUACUUCUCUUGUCCCAAACAUUCAUUGCAAGUUUACUUGUUAAGUGCUCUGUCCUGCGAUAUGUCAUAUCAUGCGGCACAAGAAAACUAGAGACACGUGAUUUUAUACACACUCCAUAGCGCAUUAUUUCCAAAGGUAUAAAAUCAUUAUCUAGCCUUUUGAGCUUGUUUUAAAUCGUCUCUUUGCAAUGUGUUUAGCUAAACUUGUUUUAAAGUCUUCUUUUUCUUCUCCUGAUUUUUUUUUUUUAAAUGUUUUUGGGGGAAACUUCUAUAUUUUUUUGGUUGAUAAGAGAAUAUUAGGUGUAGAUUCAUAAUGUGGAAACAAACAGAACAUCACCUCCAGUCAUUUGAUCGUUAGAGAUUGUGUGUUUCAUUUGCUUGAUACUUGUGGAUCACACUUGGUCAACUCCUAAUCUAUCUAGCUAAUAUAGAGGUUUUCCCCCUCUCGUAUUUUUCAAGUGUGUUUAAGGGAAGAUUUUAUUACUUGACAGAUGAUAGAAACUUAUGUAUAAAUUUGGGGAAACCCUGAAUUCUUUAAAAAUUAAAAAAAAAAAAAAAAAAAAGAAACUUAUGUAUAAAUUUGAUGUAAAGACAAAUUUAGUAGAGAUGGUGAUCACUAUGAGUUCUCUCUCUCCCUAAUCAAUUUGGCAAAAUGAAUAUGAAACUGACAAAGAAUAUGCUUUAAGGGCAGCUGAAGACACCUUUACUAUAUACACUCAAAUGGCUACCGAUUGUACCAAGUUCCAGAUAGAAAUUAAUGUUUAUGCAUUAAGUGAUAAGUACACUGAUAUUGCCUCCUUAGGUACGUACGUGGAUAUCACUUUUUCAUUUUUUUUUUCUUUCUUUGACUUUUUCAUUUUAUUUCAGGGGUUUGUAGAAAAUGGGUAGUUUAGUGGUGGCUUCGUGUGUCCUUGUGUAAUGUGUGUAACCGUUUAACAGUAUUUUCUGUA